rnacentral:rRNA from 1 species
CCCGGGCUCAACCUGGGAACUGCAUUGGUGACUGCAUCGCUAGAGUAUGGCAGAGGGGGGUAGAAUUCCACGUGUAGCAGUGAAAUGCGUAGAGAUGUGGAGGAAUACCGAUGGCGAAGGCAGCCCCCUGGGUCAAAAAAAAAAAUCAUGCACGAAAGCGUGGGGAGCAAACAGGAUUAGAUACCCUGGUAGUCCACGCCCUAAACGAUGUCAACUGGUUGUCGGGUCUUCAUUGACUUGGUAACGUAGCUAACGCGUGAAGUUGACCGCCUGGGGAGUACGGUCGCAAGAUUAAAACUCAAAGGAAUUGACGGGGACCCGCACAAGCGGGGAAGAUGUGGAUUAAUUCGAUGCAACGCGAAAAACUUU